rnacentral:lncRNA from 1 species
AUGCAAACAAUAAAUCUUUUGAGUGCUGUCUUGACCACCCAGGACAUCUGCAGCUCUCCAGGACUGAAGGAGCAUGGAGGUAACAAGCAGGCUCCAGUCCUGUACCUGAACGCUUCCAGUGCCCAAGAAGGGGAAACAGUUUUGGUUCAAUGUACCAUUGAUGAGCAGUUUCCUGCUACACGCGUGUUUUUCUGCAAGAAUGGGCAGGAGGAGUUCAGCCUGAAAGCCCAGCAUGGGAACAUCAACUACUCUCUGGUCCUGACCAUCACGUCGAGAAGUGCUGGGACAUACACAUGUGGGUAUCAGAAGAAGAACGAGAAAAACUGGGUGAAGAACUCUGCUCUCAGUGCUCCCCGGACCCUUUCUGUGCCAGGUUCAAGUGCUGGUGAGACCACCCAGGACAUCCACAGCUCCCCAGCUCCACAUGCCCAGAUCCCGCACACCCUCCCCAUAGGCAUGGUGCUGGCAGUGGCAGCCGUUGGCCUCGUCCUUCUGGCUGCAGGCAGCUGGUUUGUCAUCAAGAAAGGUGCCUGCAGAGGGAGAUGCCCAAGGCAGCAGCACAUUGACAGCCCACAGAUGGAAGACACCAGCAACGGAGAAGUCCAGUACUCCACCAUCGCCCACGUUCGACGGAACAGGCCUCCUCCCAUGCAGCAGAUGAGCGACACCACAACGUAUGCCACGGUGACCCGCACCCAGACCCGAUAG